rnacentral:rRNA from 1 species
GACGUAGGGUCCGAGCGUUGUCCGGAGUUACUGGGCGUAAAGCGCGCGCAGGCGGUCGUUCAAGUCGAGUGUGAAAGCCCCCGGCUCAACUGGGGAGGGUCACUCGAUACUGAUCGACUGGAAGGCAGGAGAGGGAAGCGGAAUUCCCGGUGUAGUGGUGAAAUGCGUAGAUAUCGGGAGGAACACCAGUGGCGAAGGCGGCUUCCUGGCCUGUUCUUGACGCUGAGGCGCGAAAGCUAGGGGAGCAAACGGG